UAUACGAUUGAAAUGAAAGUGUGAAUAACUAUACAUUAUUGAAGAAUUAUUUGAACGUAUCAAGGACAAUUUGAAUUGGAAUACUUAUACUGCACAGGUGAACACACGCUGAUUAAAUGAAAAUUGACAUCGUACUUCAUCGAGUAGAAGUUGCCCGAUGUAACAGAGAACAAAAGCACAGAAUGUGAAACAGAACAUCCGGAGCAUGCUGCACGCGUGGAGAACGAGGAAGGCGGAUAUACCGCAAGAUCCACUGACGACCGCGUAUGAAGCGAAGCCACCCA